rnacentral:tRNA from 1 species
GAGCUUGCACUUAAUUGGUAAAGGACUUCCCUGUCACGGAAGUAGGUAUCAGUUCAAGACCGUUCUAGUUCG